ensembl:snRNA U6 U6 spliceosomal RNA
GUGCUCUCUUCAGUAGCACAUAUACUAAAAUUGGAAUGAUACAGAGAUUAGCAUGGCCCCUGCACAUGGAUGACACACAAAUUCAUGAAACAUAGGGAGAGGUA